rnacentral:rRNA from 1 species
GACGAACGCUGGCGGCGUGCUUAACACAUGCAAGUCGAACGGUGAGGCCCUUCGGGGUACACGAGUGGCGAACGGGUGAGUAACACGUGGGUGAUCUGCCCUGCACUUUGGGAUAAGCCUGGGAAACUGGGUCUAAUACCGGAUAGGACCGCGCACUGGCGGUGUGUGUUGGAAAGCUUUUGCGGUGUGGGAUGGGCCCGCGGCCUAUCAGCUUGUGGGGGGGGUAAUGGCCUACCAAGGCGACGACGGGUAGCCGGCCUGAGAGGGGGUCCGGCCACACUGGGACGGAGAUACGGCCCAGACUCGUACGGGAGGCAGCAGUGGGGAAUAUUGCACAAUGGGCGCAAGCCUGAUGCAGCGACGCCGCGUGGGGGAUGACGGCCUUCGGGUUGUAAACCUCUUUCAGUAGGGACGAAGCGCAAGUGACGGUACCUACAGAAGAAGCACCGGCCAACUACGUGCCAGCAGCCGCAGUAACAC